GAUGAACGCUGGCGGCGUGCCUAAUACAUGCAAGUCGAGCGAACGGACGAGAAGCUUGCUUCUCUGACGUUAGCGGCGGACGGGUGAGUAACACGUAGAUAACCUACCUAUAAGACUGGGAUAACUUCGGGAAACCGGAGCUAAUACCGGAUAAUAUUUUGAACCGCAUGGUUCAAUAGUGAAAGACGGUUUUGCUGUCACUUAUAGAUGGAUCCGCGCUGCAUUAGCUAGUUGGUAAGGUAACGGCUUACCAAGGCAACGAUACAUAGCCGACCUGAGAGGGUGAUCGGCCACACUGGAACUGAGACACGGUCCAGACUCCUACGGGAGGCAGCAGUAGGGAAUCUUCCGCAAUGGGCGAAAGCCUGACGGAGCAACGCCGCGUGAGUGAUGAAGGUCUUCGGAUCGUAAAACUCUGUUAUUAGGGAAGAACAUAUGUGUAAGUAACUGUGCACAUCUUGACGGUACCUAAUCAGAAAGCCACGGCUAACUACGUG
rnacentral:rRNA from 1 species